ACAUCCAUAUUACAUAUAACAUAUUACAUAUAACAUCCUGAGAUGCUGCCUCUGCUACUUCCCUGUGAGCACGUCUGUCAUAUUUAACUCCAUGAUUAUAGUGAAUAUCUUUUAAUAAUAUUUUUUUUAGGCAGUGACAUUUAUCUACUCAUUUCGGAGAUCUUCACUUUGACGCCUACUGAAUGGAUAUACCGGUAGGACGUUUGGCUGCAUGUUAUGACUUUAGCAAUAACACUUUGGACCGCUUCGAGUGAGUAGGAAGUGCUGUGACAGGAACUACAUGUCCUCCUGCAGUCCACUUCCCCCUCUCACACCUCAUCUCUGCCUCUUGUGAAACCCCAUAAACGUUGUACAUGCUACCAGUUCUCUUCCUGCAACUGCCUGCCGCUCACAGGGGGGCUGCCAAAGCUGGUUAACUCGAUGUGAAAUACAUCUUGUAAACUGAGAUUACACAACAGUAACUACAUGGCAUAUUCAAGGUUUCAGCAUCCCUCCCGCCAGUGGAAUGUAAAACUCAGCUGAGGCGGUUUUGGCCCAGCUCGGCCCGGAGAGUCAUCUGGUUUGAGCUGGAUUCUGGCUGGAAAAAAGGUCCCACUUUAACAGUAGCGGGACCAGGUGUCAGUCUGACAGGGUCCCAGUCAGAUCUCACACUCCUCUGAUAGAGGAAGUGGGAGGGCUGCUGUUACAAGGCUCAGGGUUUCAGGCUUACUGUGAGUGUGGACAGGACCCAGAAACUGGAUGCUGAGAGCUUCACAGUGUCCAGGGUUGUCUGUGCUGAUGGGCAGACUGAGGUCACAUUUGCUCUUGCACUGCUGCAUGGCCGCUGGCCGCUGAUGUUCCAGACACUCGUUGGACGGCUGGCCGUUGGGGGUCAGACACUGCACCGAACGCAUCUCCUGACCCAGACCACACCUGGCAGAGCACUAAGACAGGACCCGUCACCCACUGAGGGGGAGGGCAUCGCUGCAGGUUACAGCGCACCCUGGAGGUGGGCCGGCCAUGUUUGGGGCAUUUGGACUCUGGCAGGUUGUCACCGCUCUCCCC